CGGCCUACACUACAAGAAAUAUUGCAUUUACAUACGAAUAUUUAUAUACGGAUUUCAAUCCGUAUGUAAUGCAGGUAUUACAUACGAAUUUUAUAUACGGAUCUUAAAAAAAAAUUAUAUACGGAUAUUAUAUACGGACUUUUAUUUACCGAAAAUCCGUAUAUAAAAUUCGUAUAUAAUUUUAGUGCGUGAUGGCGGGAAGAUUUUCGAAGGAUAAAAUUCGUAUAUAAUUACUACAAUCAGUAUAUAACUAGAAACAAGUUUUAUCUACCGAUAUUAUAUACGGAUUUGAAAUAUCAUUAUUUAAAAAAAAAUUAAAAUUUCAAUUGAUUAGUUGGAAGCCUUUUUCCUUGAACCCUUUUUUCUCGAAGCCCAUUUUCUUAACCCUCUUCACUCUUCUCUAGUAGCUUUUUCCCCAUCUUUACUCCUCUUAACGCGUCAGAAGCUUGCCAUAUCAUUCAUGAUUUUCCUCUCACGCAUCACAUUAACAUACUCAUUCACUCAUUCGAGACAUCUACAUCUUCGUUGGAGAGCUCCUCCAUUAUCGAAUCUCGUCUUUCUCUUUAGUAAGUUUCAUUUUCAUUACAGAUUCAUCUUCUUCCUUCAUUAUUUUCGCCUUUUCCACCUAACAGCUUCAUUGACAUAGGGUUUUAUCCAUCAUAUUUCCUUUUCCUUCAAUUUCAACUGUUUAAAAGCCUUUCUCACCGAUUAUUUUCGCUUUCCACCGUUUAAACCUUCAUUUCCACCGUUCAAUCUUUGUUCUACACCUAUUAAUCGGUUCAGUCUCUUGUUUAAUCAGUCCAGAAUUGAGUUCUUCCUCCUUUUAGGGUUUUCCACCGAACAAACCCUAAGUCUUAGGGUUGUAGUGUUUCCUUUCUCGCUCUAGAGGAAGCUUAGAGGAACCUUCAAAUUUAACUCGUGCCGCUCAUAGGUGUUCUUCCUCAAGCGUCUUCCAUCAAACCGAAGAGAGGAGAUUCUUCCCUGAGCAGUCUGAGAUGCUUCGCUAGAAAAGGAACCGAGUAAGUUCUUAAUUUUUUUUUUAAUUUCUCCCUUUUUUUUGUCCAUAUAUUGUUAGGAGAGGGGAUUUGAAUAUUUUGGUUAUGAUCUAAAAUGCAUGAUAUCUUAAAAAUUGAAGGUUGUUUUUCAUGCAUUCUCUUGUCGAUAUUGUUUUAUGAAUUUUGGUUUUUGUGAAACUUUUACACAGUUAAAAUGGAGCAAUUGUCAGAGAACCGGAGUGAAGCAAAACGACUGGUGCCACUGCCCUGCCACCGCCCCUACAAGACAUUCACCAACUUUGUUAAUUACUUAUUUUCCCUAUCUAAAAUCCUAAACCUUCAUAUUUAAGAUUCUUUGAUCUGGCCAUUCUAAGAGGAUUCCUUUUCUUUAAUUUUUCAAGAUU
rnacentral:lncRNA from 1 species